CUGGGUUUGUUUCAUUUUACUCUCAACGCAGAAGCAGUGAAAUUAUAUAAUCUGCAAGACAUCUUUCGCUGCGUAAUAAAUCACUUGGCGACUUUCGUAAUCGGAAUUGAAACAUUUAAAUUACAUUAAGUGUGCGGAAUUUCAGUACAUAUUUCGACACUUGGCAGUGAUUGUGAACAUUAAACCAACUUAACUAGCAUACAUUUCUAGAAUACUUCAGUUUGUGAAUUUUGUGUGAGAAGUUUGAAUUUCAGGGAGGAAACAAAAUGAAGCUGCUAGUUUUGUUCGUUGUGGGUUCGACUAUUUUCAUCGGCCUUGGGACAGCUGAAUUAACUGGUGAAAUAAUUGCUUCGGAGGAUGAAAACGUUUCUCUGAGACAGAAACGCAACUUGGACACAUUAAAUGAUAUUCUAACAUCAAAGCGAGAUGUAGAAAGCGGACCAAUAAGACCAAAACGAAGCUUUGAAAGCGGACCAAUAAGACCAAAACGAAGCUUUGAAAGCGGACCAAUAAGACCAAAACGAAACUUUGAAAGCGGACCAAUAAGACCAAAACGAAGCUUUGAAAGCGGACCAACAAGACCAAAACGAAGCUUUGAACGCGGACCAAUUAGACCAAAACGAAGCUUUGAACGCGGACCAAUUAGACCAAAACGAAGCUUUGAAAGCGGACCAACAAGACCAAAACGAAGCUUUGAACGCGGACCAAUUAGACCAAAACGAAGCUUUGAACGCGGACCAAUUAGACCAAAACGAAGCUUUGAACGCGGACCAAUUAGACCAAAACGAACCUUUGAAAGCGGACCAACAAGACCAAAACGAAGCUUUGAACGCGGACCAAUUAGACCAAAACGAAGCUUUGAACGCGGACCAAUUAGACCAAAACGAAGCUUUGAAAGAGGACCAAUUAGACCAAAACGAAGCUCUGAAAGCGGACCAAUUAGACCAAAACGAAGCGUUGACAGGCCAUCUAAACCAAAACAAAGCACUUAAGACCAGCAAGGAAACGAAAACGAAGCGUUGAAAAGAAGCCAUUCAAACCAAAACGAAACGUUGCAUGACUGUUAAAUCACUACAUAUAUUGAUGCCUCAAUAUAAAAUAAAAGGCCAUCUGUGGAAAAGACUGUGAAACGAAGGACAUGGUUGGGAUUCAGCCAAAUAUUAUUUAAAACAAUCAUAUACAUUAUAAUACUCAUUUGUAUCAAUACCCUCAUCAGAUGAAUGCUGAAAAUACCAGUAAAUUGUUCAUGUUUAAAGUAAAACGAAUAUUCCUUACCUCGGUGUUUGUUUAUCCGGUUGUUAGCUUAUACCAAUACACAGCAUUGUUUAUCUUUGUUGAUAUUUACGUUUUGAUGUAUGCACAAUAAAUAUCAGUUUAUU